rfam:Papilio machaon contig17053, whole genome shotgun sequence.
GCGUAGGUGGCUCAGUUGUUAAGCACCUGACUUGUAAUCUGCAGGUGCUGGGUUCGAAUCCCACCAUGUACC